AUCUUGAACAGGUAUAUCGGGUACCUAGACUGUGUGGGAUGGCUUUUAUAGUACCACCUACACUAGAGUUUAAUAUGUGGGAGGGAGAUGUCAGAAUUAUUAGAGUAGAGAUGAAAUCCUUUAAUACUAAUAGGACUGAUAAUGGCGAAGGCAAACCUCUAUGUAUAUGUACUUUAAAAAAUGGUCUAUUGUGGAUUUAAAUACAAUAGGAAAUAUAGGUAAAAGAAAACUAUAUACAAGUUAUCACCAUGUAUGCCUAAUGAAUAAUAAAUAUAAUAAAGUACUAAACUGACGUUGAGGGACGAAGGCUCAGAGAGUGAAGAGGAUUAGAUACCCCCGUAGCCUGGGCAGACAAUGAUGAGUGCCAUAGGUUGGCUUUAAGUUGAACUAUAAAUGAAAGUGGAAGCACUCCACCUCAAGAGUAAUGUGGCAACGCAGGAACUGAAAUCAUUAGACCGUUUCUGAAACCAGUAGUGAAGUAUGUUAUUUAAUUCGAUGAUCCGCGAACAACCUUACCACAAUUUGAAUGUUCUAAUUUUUAUAUAAUUUAUAUAGUUAAACCAUAAUUAAUGUAAUUUAAUAAAAUUAUAUUUAUAAAGUAUAUUAUGUAAUUAUAUCACAUAGAUCACAUGCGUUGCAUGGCUGUCUUCAGUUAAUGUCGUGAGAUUUGGUUAGGUCCAUUAAAUUAACGUAAACCCUUGCUUUAUUUAAUGUAAUAAGGCAGCUCUCCGCUUACAAUUGGAUAUGACAACAGGGACUAAGACAAGUCAUCAU
rnacentral:rRNA from 1 species